ACUCAACUCAACUUAACUCAAUUCAAUUAAGCCUUUAUCUCAAAUUAACCAACUAACCAAGUUUGGAUUAAAAGGGGGAGCCAUUGUCUUCCACAAAAAUGUAUUAAUGGAUAAAACAAAUACUUCCAUAGAAAUUUAUUAUUGGACAAAACAAAUAUAAUCUCAGUUACAAAUUAGGACAUGAGCAUUUCUGUAUCAGCAACUCAAAUGCUCAACCUAAUUCUGAUUUACCGUAAAUAAAACUAUCCAAUGAAAGGCUCCCAACGGUGGAAUAUCAAAAUUUAUGCUCAGCUGUAUACAAGUAGGUUACACGCCUACUCAGCGUCCGUUGGUGCUGGUGCUCGCUCUCAGGAGUGGCAUAUUACAAUUCAGAUGUUUAGUCAUACAAUUAACUGCACAAAAGAAAAGCAGCGAUGCUAAGGGAUCAAAAUAUGAUUUUUGGCAGUGCACACUGCACAGGAAGAAAACAAUAAACACAAUGCUUUAAGGAAUAAGACCAAGAUACAGAAAAGUGGAGGCUACUUGGCUUGAUUGUCCAUGAUAGGUUUGACCCAAUGAAAGUAAACUAGCUUCAUGAAUUAUGCAGCAGAAACUUAACCUCAUAAAUCAUCGGUGAUUCUUAGUUUUGAAAGUUACAGCUCGUUCCGUUUAAAGGGAGAAAAUGAAUUCACAAGAAAUUAAGACACAAUAUUGCUUAACGCCUUAACCAAAACAAUCUGUCAAUAAAAUGUCAAUACACUCCCCACAUUCACCACUGUUCACUAGUAUCACAACUAUUAAUAUUCUUCCUCAAUACUACAAGUUUGUCCAGCAACACUUAUGCAAAAACAAGAUAUUUGUUGCCAAUCAGCAUAAACUCUAAUAAAUAGUAAUGGCAGUAAUUAAAAGAAAAUAACUGCACAUAAUAAGAUUGUUAAUACUCUAUUUUGGGCACUGAUAGUCACCUUUAAGAGUAUAGUUCAGACUUUGUACUCAUUCACACGCAUCCACUUGGUAGCUGACCACUUAUUCCCUUUAAUCACUGCGCAACCACCAUGCAGGCUCGAAGGAUCCAGAGAGGCAUCAGGUUUCAUGCUCCAGAAAAGCAAUGCAUCGCCCAUCUUUGGUUUAACAGAAAGCCCUCCUUUUCCACAUUCAGACAACUCGUUCCACCAAGGCACAGCACUAUAGUUCCCUUUGGCAGAAGGAAACACUGUCUCACCCCCUUCCUCAACAUCUGACAGAUACAUUAGAACAGUUGCUGUCCGUUGGCCCCCAUUCUUAGUGUUGAACUCAUCAAGAAAAUAAUCAUAGUGAGCCUCAUACUUCUGUCCAACUUCAUAGUGAAGAACCUGCAGCCCUUCUCCAUGCUCUACAGGAAUGAAAGAGAAGUCUGCUACCCUCUUUUCAAUGCUCUUGAUAAGUUUAUCUUGUCCUCUCCUCAGAAACAUUCCAGAACUCGUACGAACCCUGCAAUUAAGAGUCUACAAAUUAAUUUAGCAUGUAAAAUUAAGAAGACUAUGGCUGUUCACAGUCCUAUGAGAUUUCUAUCAAAACAAUCCAAUUACAAGUGAGCUGUGUCUUUGAAAAACCCUUGAAGGCAGUGCAUACUCCCAUAAUUCAUCCAUUCUAUGAAAAAGUGGAGAUGGUAAUAAAAUGCAUACCUGCUAUCUUUACUUUUACCUGUCUUGCUAUCUACCACAGUUGACUUUGUCAUGUGUGGUUUAGCCAGAGCUAUUAGGUGCUCACAUUCUUCUUUUGACAAGAAAUUGUGAUAAAGAAAUGCUCGAGGCUCCCAAGAAAUAAUUUCAGUCCACUGCUCUCCUCUCUUACCCAAACCAUCACCAUCUCUUUCAACUGCCAUACGCCGAUAGGAAGUAGUGAGAUCAUUGGGAGGAGCAUCGGCGCUGCUUAUAGGAAGAGAGAAGAUUCCCAGAGCCAAAAGCAUCAAUAGAACCACCGUUAGCAUAAAUAGCAUCGUCAAUACCAGCGACAAUGUCGACCAUUUCCUUGCUUGUAUCCUUGAGUGCCUCAGCUUCGCCAUUUCCAAAUUAGCUUCCAAACCCUAGUUAAUCAAUAAAAUUACUAAUAUAUGCGCAACUUUGAAAUUUCAAUUUGUGUGUAAACGUGCGAGAUGUGGAUUAGGGCAGCAGUGUCAAAGGACCGGCUAUUGGUAGUAG
rnacentral:misc_RNA from 1 species